GAGUUUUUGAGUGAUAACAAUGAUAGAAACAGACUACUAACUCAAUUAUUAGUAGUAACGAGUAGGUACUAAGAUAUUAACCAUGAAGAAACAAAACUAGUCUCACAUGAUAACACAGAACUGACUUUUAUACCUGAAGAAGAGUAUAAUAACUCAAAUGACCAGAAUCAAGCUCAAGUUUUUGAGUUUUGAUCUAUGGAACCAUUAUUACAAAUAGCUUAGUAGGUGUAGCCUUUUACAAACAUACCCUCCUUGGCUUCCUCAGACUCGCCUUCUCCAGUGUAUUUCCCGAGCUGAGCCAGCGAAUUGGCUUUGGCUCUGGCCAAGAGAAUGUCCUGAGCCGCCUUCACGUUCUCUUCCUUGCCUCCCCAUGUCUUCAAGCAAGUGUUCUGCAAGGCAC
rnacentral:sRNA from 1 species